rnacentral:sRNA from 1 species
GCUGGGUGUGGUGGCACAUGCCUGUAGUCCCAGCUACUCGGGAGGCUGAGGCAGGAGAAUCGCUUGAACCCAGGAGGCAGAGGUUGCAGUGAGCCAAGAUUGUACCACUGCAGUCCAGCCUGGCACAGAGCGAGACUCCGUCUCAAAAACCAAAACAAAAACAAAAUGUAACCAGAGGGAUCAAUUUUCUCUUUGUAGUUAGGGUAUUUUUUUGUUUUAUUUUUGUUUUUAGACAGACUCUCGCUCUGUCGCCAGGCUGGAGUGCGGUGGUGCUAUUUGGCUCACUGCAACCUCUGCCUCCCGGGUUCAAGCGAUUCUCCUGCCUCAG